rnacentral:rRNA from 1 species
UACGGAGGGUGCAAGCGUUGUCCGGAUUUAUUGGGUUUAAAGGGUGCGUAGGCGGGCCUUUAAGUCAGUGGGGAAAGCCGACAGCUUAACUGUCGAAAUGCCAUUGAUACUGGGGGUCUUGAGUACAGUAGAGGUAGGCGGAAUUAAUGGUGUAGCGGUGAAAUGCAUAGAUACCAUUAAGAACACCGAUUGCGAAGGCAGCUUACUAUAGUGUAACUGACGCUGAGGCACGAAAGUGUGGGGAUCAAACAGG